AUGUUUCAAAUCAGUGUAUUAGACGCUGAGUGCCCAGUGUACAAUGGCUGCAAACAGCAACAUCCUCAAUAGUAUACGCAGCCUGCUGCUUGUGUGGGCUGCCCUAAGGGACCUUGGAGACACUG
rnacentral:snoRNA from 1 species